rnacentral:rRNA from 1 species
GUAGGGAUCUUCCGCAAUGGGCGAAAGCCUGACGGAGCAAUGCCGCGUGAGUGAUGAAGGUUUUCGGAUCGUAAAGCUCUGUUGCCAGGGAAGAACGCUUGGGAGAGUAACUGCUCUCAAGGUGACGGUACCUGAGAAGAAAGCCCCGGCUAACUACGUGCCAGCAGCCGCGGUAAUACGUAGGGGGCAAGCGUUGUCCGGAAUUAUUGGGCGUAAAGCGCGCGCAGGCGGUCAUUUAAGUCUGGUGUUUAAUCCCGGGGCUCAACCCCGGAUCGCACUGGAAACUGGGUGACUUGAGUGCAGAAGAGGAGAGUGGAAUUCCACGUGUAGCGGUGAAAUGCGUAGAUAUGUGGAGGAACACCAGUGGCGAAGGCGACUCUCUGGGCUGUAACUGACGCUGAGGCGCGAAAGCGUGGGGAGCAAACAGGAUUAGAUACCCUGGUAGUCCACGCCGUAAACGAUGAGUGCUAGGUGUUAGGGGUUUCGAUACCCUUGGUGCCGAAGUUAACACAUUAAGCACUCCGCCUGGGGAGUACGGUCGCAAGACUGAAACUCAAAGGAAUUGACGGGGCCC